CUCCCUCGGUGCAGUGCUAGCUAAUAAAUACCUUGAGCAUUGAACUGAAAACUCUUUCCUUCCGAGCCAUUUUAUUUAGACUCAAAGGCUGUAAAGUUUUACUGCAAUUUCCUUUGAAGUUCUUCGCCACUAUUGGUAGUCCUAAAAUUCUUCAACCACAUUCUUUCAGAUACAAGCCCACACUUCCUUAGAGAUGAUUUCCACUGUAUGCCCUCUGUCCCUCAGUGGUCAGCUGACCUGGCUGAGGGUUCCCUGGGGAGGUUCCACGUGCAGAUGACUAUUGAAAGUGUAACCUUUUGUGACGUGUUACAUAAUAACUGGCUACUUUGCUUCACCAGUCCUUCACUCUUUUGUUCAGUAUUUUGAUGCUUGCGUUUUGGUUGUUUCUGUCAGAUGUUGUGAAUUUUGGUUUCCUUCAAAAUAAUUGACAUUUGAUGGUUUUUAUUUUGAAAUGAUGCACAGACACCCCCACCCUCAGCUUAGAAACCAGCUUUCUUUAGGGUUCUUGGGUCAGCCCACAGAAGCCUACAGACCUCCGCCAUGGCUGGAAGGCAGUGCUAUGCCAGAUGUGGUUGGCUUUUAUGGGCUUGCACAUGGGCUAGCAGCACCCACUAUGUUGUAAGCUGUGAAAGAAAGAAAGAAAGAAAGAAAGAAAGAAAGAAAGAAAGGAAGGAAGGAAGGAAGGAAGGAAGAAAGAAAGAAAGAAAGAAAGAAAGAAAGAAAGAAAGAAAGAGAAAGAAAGAAAGCAUUCCAGGUUGGGACUCAGCACCUAGUCCAUGGCAGUUGCCGACUGAGACGGCUGUCAAACCUCUCUCCUCGCAAACUGCACCUGAGGACCGGGGACAGAGGAGACAAGAGGACGACAUUCCUUCCUAAGUUACCAAUUAUCACGUUGACUGUACUUUGGCAGAGACUCUCCGUCACGUGGAUAAUAUUAAAAGCCCUAAAUAAAGUUAUGCAUGCUGUUGUUCAUCAGUAACAAGCGUUUGCCUGCCAGCCUCUGCCACAGACAGCUCUGAGGUGUAGGGUGCUGGCUUUUGACAGUAUUCUUUUGCACUGUUCCCUCUUUCUACGAAGUCUUAUUUAGGUAACAGUCCUAGAGGAUGUUGUCUCUGUCCUUGUCGUUGCUGUAAAAUGUUUCCUAUGUGCCUUUACAAAUGUGAGGUCUUUAUUCUAACCCCCCCUUUUUUGUAAAAGAUAUCUAUUGAUUUCUACAUGCAAUAAACCUUGUUUUGAGAGAAA
rnacentral:lncRNA from 1 species